AAAUCAUAGAAUAUGCUGAGUUGGAAGGGGUCCAUCAGGAUUAUCGAGUCCAACUUCUGGGCCUGUGCAGGGCACCCAAAGGAUCACACCAUGUGCUGAGAGCAUUGUCAAAAUGCUUCUUGAAUUCACCCAGGCUUGGUG